rfam:Oryza sativa Japonica Group DNA, chromosome 5, cultivar: Nipponbare, complete sequence.
AACCACACUAUCGAUGAAUGGAUUCACCCGUGAGAUGACGUGGUUGUUCCAUCUAGGAUGGGGACGUGGCAUCCUGUUAAUUUUGUGUGAUGGCUGGUAAUAGGAUGCCAUGUCCUUGUCCUAUGUGAAACAACCACAUCAUCUCGCGAGUGAAUCCAUUCAUCGAUAGUGUGGUU